GACGGCUUAGCAAAGUGGUUACUGUGAUUCAUUAGGGAUCAAUUCCUCUUUGAGGGCGUAUGCUCCAGUCCUACAGUCGUCG
rnacentral:tRNA from 1 species